UUUGAAGUCCAUACAUGCAUACACCUCAUAUCUUUUCUACUAACUCACUUCCAUCAACAUUUCAACUCCUUUCUUUCUCUCUCCAAAAUUCGACUAACCCAAACACACCUCCAUAUUCAUCUUUCAAAAUUCAAAACACAUCAAUUCAAGCAUGUUUGAAUGAACUAAGGUCUUGGUAAAACUUGAAGAUACAUUUGGAGCACCUUAGAAGUCUUGGAGUUCUUGGAUCAUCAUAUCUUCAUCUUGUUUUUAUUAGCAAACUAGUCGAGAAACAAACAACGAACCAGGAAUCGAGUAGAUAUUUGCACGGAACGCAAAUCUAUGAGUGUUUAAAAUAAAGGGACCAUUAAGGAAUAACAAGUACCGAGGAACAUUUGGCAAGCCCCACUCUUAACGACAAUGAUUACGGCGAUCGUUAAGAGUGCCUUUGUAUCCAAACUAGUGUCGUUGACACACACGAUAAAUUGUCAAGGAGAUUAGUGGA